CCUGUUCGACUCCCUUGAGGAGGGGAAAAAAAAAGAAAAGAAAAGAAAUUCCCUCAAUCAUUUGAGUUGGUCUUCUUCUCAUCAGUCUGAUCACCGACAUCGGCCAGCCCAACAGGGCCUCUUUCCCCUCCGCCGCCGUCUGAUCUCAGCUCAGCUCAAUUUUAGCAUUUUAGCUACAGCCAUUCAAGAAAAUUAUGCAACAAGGCGAUUUUAGCUCCUACUAUCAGUAUCCACAAAACCCAAACCCGGAUCCGAAUCCAAUACCAGCUCCACUUCCUCCCACCCAUCAAGCAACUCCUUCACCGCCGCCCUACGCCUCUGCGCCGCCCUUCUCGGCCAAUUACGGCCCUGCCUCGGAUUACCCUAGCUCAUAUCCUGGCUCUUCUUAUCCUUCAUAUCCCCAAAAUCCCAAUCCUGCCCCCACUGCCCCUUCCUUCAAUACUCCGCCUCCUCCUGCUCCACCUCAGCAAGCUCAACCUUCUUCUCCAUUUCCCCAAUUCGAAACCCAUGGGCCCUACCCACAGGCCCCUCCUCACCAAUCAAAACCGCCACCACCUCCACAGCCCUAUUUCUCAACCUACGACCACCACCAGCAGCCUCCACCACCACAGCCCAGUUACUCUUCCGCUCCUAGCCCUAAUUCCAUUUCCAAGUCAGCCUAUUCUUCAGCCUACCCAUCUCAAUUCAACCAACUAAGCUCCUCUGUUCCACCUGUUUAUGAUAGCCCAUAUGAUCAUAAUGUGAAAUUUGACCAACCAGGCAGCUAUUUUGAGGGUUUUUCGGCCACAUAUGCAGGUUCUGGUCGGGAAAGAUCGGAUUUUGGAUCAGAUUUUUAUGGGAAAUUAGGCGACGGCGGUGGGAAUGGCAUAGAUGGCUAUGGUAACGGGGUCUAUGCAUACCAAGGGAGUAAGGUGGAGCCUUAUGGGGCUCGAGGUACGGCUCCAAAGUCGUCGACUUGGUCUGGUUUUGAUGAUUUUGGGAGGCCAAUCGGGUAUUCUUCAGAGAAGGAGAGGCCUUCUGUUGCUUCAAGUAUGAAGAUAGUGAGGGCUGUGCCAAAGGCGGAUACCCAGCAGGAUGUGAAGAGCGGGGUGCAGAAGUUUAGAGUUAAGCUAUUGGCUGAAAGUGGCGGCCAGAGCACCAUGGAUGUUCUUUGCCAGAUUGGCUUGGAUGGGAUUCGCAUGCUUGACCCAAGCACCAGUCGGACACUGAGAAUAUAUCCCCUUGACACAAUAACUAGAUGUGAAGUAACAUCACCAUCAACCUUUUCCUUUUGGUCAAAAAGUUCUGUUGACAUUGAACCAAGGCGCAUUAGGUUGCAGUCAAGUAGUUAUACAACAAAUACUCUUUUGGACACAGUGACUGCCGCAACUGUACAGUUCAAGGAGAUGGGAGGAAGAAGUAGACCUGCAGAAUCUUCUAAGAUUACGGAACAGCCCACUGAGAAGAAAAAAGGUCUUGCUGAUUGGAUGGCUUUCAUGAAGCCUGUCAAUGAGGAAAAAGACCAUUGGGGAUUGUUUUUCUGGUUUGCUUGUGUGGCAUAUUCUUUCUUGAGAUUCCCGAUGAGGCGGCCUCCAAAUGCACAGCUUGUGGGACUGACUUUAAUGCCUUUGUGCGCAAGCAUCACUGCAGAAAUUGUGGAGAUAUUUUCUGUGACAAGUGCACGCAUGGAAGGGUAGCACUUACCGCUGAUCAGAAUGCUCCAGCUGUUAGGGUUUGUGAUCGUUGCAUGGUUGAAGUUUCCCAUAGAUUGACUAACGCCAAGGAAGCCUCCAGCAGAUCAGCUGCAUUGCACAGUCACGAGGAUCUUGCAAAGAAGCUUCAGGAGGAGAUGGAGAGAAACCGCAAGGCAUCAUCAGGUUCAAGGUCAGAUGGCUCUGGAAAGCGGAUGAAAGAGGUUGCAUGCCCUACUUGCACAGUUCAUUUGCAGGUUCAAGUUCCCAGCUCUGGAUCAGAGACCAUAGAGUGUGGUGUUUGCCAGCAUCCAUUUCUUGUCAGUGCUCACUGAUGCUAUGGUUAGCUUGCUGAGACUUUACUUUGACUUAUGACAGUUUGGAUUAAUUGAAGAGGUAGAUCUUCAUGAUUCAGAUAAUCUUUUUCUUUUUUCCCCGGUUUAUCUGCCGUCUGCUUGAUAUCAAGGAGUGGUCUCUCUGGGUCUGUAUGUGAAAAUUCUUUGUAUAUCUGUGCUGCUUUAUGCUGAGAAGUUGCAUUGACCUUGUAAAUCUUAAUUGUUUUUUUGGGAAGUGCCCUGUUCAUUGUAAGUUUGUGAUGGUGUAAAUUUUCCUUCGUUAUGAGAUUACCUUGAAGUUGAAUUAGACUUUUCCCUUUUUCUCCAA